rnacentral:lncRNA from 1 species
CAAGUGAUAAAGUUAACGCCUGAGAGUGUGUGACUAGUGAGGUGAAUCUUGUCGCUCGCGUUCCGAGGACUGUGGCUGAAACGCAUAGGAAGUUGACAGACCUCAGAGCAGCCGUGAAAAAGAGAAACAAGAGAAGUAAUACAUGGAAGGAACAGAUGGUGGCCCAGCAGUUCUUACAAACUACACAGCAGUUGAAGAAGCUAUGUUAGCUCUGAUUGAGGCUUUUAUUAUUUCUAGCUUACCAGGGCCUAUGAAAAUGAGACAGAAGUAGAUGAACCAACCCCUGGGCCAUCUGGGAUAGCAUCUCAACCCAUAAUGGAUUCUGAAGUUAUUGUAACAAUGGAUGAGAACACUUUGGAGGAGCAAGAAGUUACAGUACCCAUUGUAACAAUGGGCUACACAUACUCUGCGGGAUUACCCAUUUCUUCACAGAAGAGUAACUAUAAGGAUGGAUUUAGCCGAAACAGUGCAAUGGUCCAAGAGAGAGAGACCUUUCAAGAACUGAGCAGGUCAAGCUUUAAUCUUUCUGAUGCUGUCAUAUAAAAUUUUGGUUUAUUUGUUACUGUGCAAUAUUUGAUUUAGAUUUUUCCAUCUCUAAAUUUUGGAGAGUUCAGGAGAAAGCAAAUUUUAUUGAAUUAUAUUCUAAUAUUCAUUCAAAAUAGUUAUGUGGUUUCAGGGACAGCUUUAUUUUAAUUAUGUUAUUAUAUUCCUUUAUUUGCAUUAUAUUCUUUUAUUUGCAUAUUUUUUAUGCAUAAAACUUAUGUUAUUUGUGCAAUAUACAUCAUUUGCCCCCAAAGGUUUUUGUUGAUUUUGUUUCAAAGGUAACUGUCUUGUGGUCAUAAGGCAAUAUGAAAAGUGUCAGUACAUUUUGUUUAUAUAGAUUUU